rnacentral:misc_RNA from 1 species
UUUCCGUAGGUGAACCUGCGGAAGGAUCAUUAUUGUAUAACCGAGGUGCGAGGGCUGUCGCUGACCCGAAAGGUCGUGCACGCCCGAGUGCCCUCACACACAUCCAUCUCACCCCUAAGUGCACCACCGCGUGGGUCCCCCUUUGGCUUGUUCGGAGGGGGGCUUACGUUUUCACACAAACUUUGUAUGCAGUGUAGAAUGUAUUUUUUGUUUUUGCGAUCACGCAAUCAAUACAACUUUCAACAACGGAUCUCUUGGCUCUCGCAUCGACGAAGAACGCAGC